rnacentral:misc_RNA from 1 species
CAGUAUGAUUUCGACUCUCGGGACUUGCCAGUGCGGUAGUAGAGGUCUGCAAGGCGGACGAAGACAGCAGCGACAGAGGGGUGGUUGUCGCCUCGGGUGGAUUUAAAUACAGUGAGGGCCUUCUGGUAAGAAAAGACUGCCUCAUCGAAGCGGGCAAGGGCAAGGUAAGUGUUACCGAUACUAAGGUCAACAGCGGCAACCUCGGUGUCCUGGGCAUUGGCAAUGAGAGCCAUGGAAGCAAGAACGAGGUGCUCGAGGGCAGCUUCAGCAUCACCCUUGGCUUCGCAGAUGAGGGCCAUCAGG